AAUAAACGAAUUUCUGGGGUUUUCUAUAAAAUUUUUGACUCUUUGUCUUAUUUGAAUUUUUUUUACGAUUAAUGUUUUUAUUAUUAUCACAUGAUAAAACAUAACUCAUAUUUUACGUGUGACUAUUUUUUUAACUUUUUCAUAAAUUUUCAAAUAAGACGGAUGGUCAAACGCCAAACCUAGAAAACUCAGAAAUGCUCUUUUU
rnacentral:pre_miRNA from 1 species